UUUUUUUUUUUUUUUCUCUCCCUCCUUUUGUUUCUGCAUCUUCCAUCUCUCACUCGAUUUCAAUAUGGGGGAAGAAAAAGUUCUCAUUUUUGUUAGAAAUUAACAGUAGUAACCACUUAGCUCCACUUGGGUAGCUUCUUUUUUAGAUUUAAAUUAUGGGUUUUGUGUUCUUCUAGCUAUUUUGUGUCUCAUACUUCGGAGAUUUACAUUUGCUGAGUCAUAUACCUCUGAUUUCUGGGGUUUCAGCCACUGAAAACUUUGGGUUUCUUUUCUUUAAAAAUAUAUAUAUUUUUUCCUUCACUUGUGAUGUUUUGUAUCUUAUUUUUAAAUAUUUUGGCUCAAGUUCUGGUGUCACUUACCUUUUUUUUCCACUUUUGAGGUAGUUGAUCUGUGUGUAUGCUAGUCCUUGUCUUUACAUAGUUCCCUUGGUUUAUGGCGUAGAUUUUAUUUUAGGUCUGAAAAUUUAUGCUUUCAAUGUUUGAAUAUCUUGGGGAGUUUCUGUUUAAUUUGGAUCUCAAGUAAACCCUUCGCCUCUUGGCGAUUUCUUAAGUUUCUGAUAGUUCGUUUUGAUGUCUUAUACGUCAAAUUUGGGUGUGUAAUUUGCUCUCUGGUUUACCCCAAAUGUUGCACAAAAGGGGGGUUUCUUUUUUCUCACACGAGCUAAUGAGUGCCUUACGGCAGCGAUGAACUGUUUAAUUGACUUGUGAUUUCUGAUUUCUGGUUUCUUUAGUAGACUAGAGAUGGCAGAGGGAAAUGAUCUGAGGCACUGGGAUGAGUUAAUACCGGAUGCUUUGGGACUAAUCUUCAGUAAACUUUCACUCCAAGAGAAACUGACUGUUAUUCCCAGGGUCUGCAAAUCAUGGGCCAAAGCAGUUCUUGGACCUUAUUGCUGGCAAGAGAUUGACAUUGAAGAAUGGAGUAGUCAAAGGCAACUUGACAACGUCGAUCGAAUGCUUCAAAUGCUGAUAAAUCGAAGUGGAGGGUCACUUCGCAAGCUCUGCGUUACUGGUCUUCAUAACAGCAGCAUUUUCUUCUCCAUCGCUGAUCAGUAAGAAAUUAAAUUUUUGUGGAUAUGAGUUAAAUUGAAUUUUAAUGCCAUGACGCAUUUUUUGCCUUAACAAAUAUAAUAUAAUAUAUAUAUAUAUUUACGUACUUGCUAUGAACAAGAUUUGGUAUAACUGCUCAUGAAGGCCUUGGGUUGGUGCUGACUGUGGAUUUGGUUUGUUAAAAUGGACUAUUUUGUGAUGUUGGUGUUUUGUUUGUGUAUUGCUUUUUUCAAGUGCUGGUUCUCUUCAAACAUUGCGACUACCAAGGAGCAAUAUAAGCGAUGCUGUAGCAGAACAAAUUGCCGGAAGGCUUUGUGCAGUUACUUUUUUGGAUCUAAGCUAUUGUGAUAAAAUCAGUGCCUGUGGUUUAGAGUCCAUAGGAAAGAAUUGCAAAGCUUUAGUUGGAAUGUGUCGUAACUUGCAUCCCCUACAUACAGCAGGUAUAUCCUCCCCGGACGAUGAAGCUUAUACUAUUGCAGCCACAAUGCCAAAACUCAAGCACCUUGAAAUGGCUUAUCACCCUCUAAGCACUAAAAGCUUACUCACAAUUCUUUCAAGCUGCCCCGAUCUCGAGUUCCUCGAUUUGAGAGGCUGUGGGGAUGUAAGGUUGGAUGACAAAUUUCUUGCAGAGAAAUUCCCUAAACUAAGGGUGUUGGGACCUCUCGUUAGGGACGUGUACGAGAGAAACGAAUGGGACGAAGGCUCAGACUACUCAUACAUAUCAGAAGACUUGGCAUGGGACUUUUCUGCAGGUUACUUUGACGAUGCUGGUAGUUUCGACGACCAAUGGGACGAUGAAGGCAGACUGGAAGGACUUGAGUUGAGAUUUUAUGAAGGAGUAGAUGAAGAUAAUGAAGCUUUUGGUUGGCCUCCUUCCCCUUAAACUAUAAUGUUUCUGAGUUUGUGAAAUUGUUUGCUCUUUUUCUUCCUCCUCCUUGGUAUCAACUCGAUGCUUUUAUAACUUAUGUGGACUUGUAAAUUCUCUUACUAGAAAUUGAAGUGUGAGUUUCUUUCUUCUUCUUUCUUUUCUUAUAGUUUAUGGAUGAAAAUUCUUAGUUUGUGAGUCUGCCUAUAUCAAAGUCUAGUGGUGAAAAUUUUCGAGGGGAAAAGAAAGUUGAAAAAUGGGUGAUUGUGAUAUCCUCGAAAAAGAAUUCAUGUUCAGUUUGGAAAGACUUAAUCCAAAAAUUAAAUUGUUUUUUAGUAACUUUUAAAUUUUAAAUAUUGUGAUUCUUUAUUUAGUUAUGUUUUAAUCCUAAUUCGUUCCUUUUUUCAAAAAAAAAAGAAAAGAAAAUGGUGUAUACGUCUAAUAUAUAAAUCUCAAAUUUGAGUUAUAAUUUAAUGUUGGAUUAUUAAACAACUUUUUGAUUUGAAAAAUGCACAAACUUACCAUAUAUCCAAUCUAAAGUUUAUAGUUUUAUUAGACCAUAAAACGGAUUCGAAUAUAUAAUAGGUAAAUAAAGUAUCAUUUUAGUGUAAAUUUGUGAACUACAUGAAACUUUUGAAAUUCAAUUGAAAGAGUAAAUAAUAAUAAAAAGAAAGGGGUAAGUGGGAAGUGGUGGCAUGGAGAAUUAGGAAAAGGGAAAGGGGAAUGUGUGUAUGGUUUGUAAGUUUGUGGAUUAGAGAAAUUUUAUAAUAUAAUUAAGUAAUAAAAAAUUAAAGGGAAGAGGGGCAGUCACGUGAAGGCACGUGAGGUCGAUCCUUGGGAUCUUGUAGUCUUGUACCCUACCCGAUGUCUCCCUCCCACACUUCCCUCGGUACUAGUGUUCCCACGUGUUCCCACUUGCUAUUUUCUUAUUCUAAAUUCUCAUUUUUCUUUUCCCUGAUUCCAAAUUCCACAUCUUCCAUUUCAUUACAUUUCCCUCUACGUAGUAAUUGGAUUCUCAUCUUUGUUUCUAUGGAUUACAUCAUGUCAAGAAGUUUUACCAUAGGCUUGGGCCAGGUUGGUUUAGCUUCGGCCCCAACGUGUGAGAAAAUGGGCCUGUUUGAAAAGACAGGCCGGAUAGAGAGCGAAGUACUAAUACAAAGCCCACCCACAUUAGGCCCAUUGGCCCAGAGAAUUAAAAAAGGGGAGAAAAACCCGUGCGUGCCAGCUAGUUUAGUACAUGUCAGGCUGGCAAAAACCGUAGAUUUCUAAAAAGAAAAAAAGAAAAAGAAAGGAAAAGGCUGUCAAAAC
rnacentral:lncRNA from 1 species